UACGGAGGGUGCAAGCGUUAAUCGGAAUUACUGGGCGUAAAGCGUGCGUAGGUGGUUUGUUAAGUCCGUUGUGAAAGCCCCGAGCUCAACUUGGGAAUUGCAGUGGAUACUGGCAAGCUGGAGUGCGGUAGAGGAAGGUGGAAUUCCCGGUGUAGCAGUGAAAUGCGUAGAGAUCGGGAGGAACAUCUGUGGCGAAGGCGGCCACCUGGACCAACACUGACACUGAGGCACGAAAGCGUGGGGAGCAAACAGG
rnacentral:rRNA from 1 species